rnacentral:rRNA from 1 species
GAUGAACGCUGGCGGCGUGCCUAAUACAUGCAAGUCGAGCGAACAGACGAGGAGCUUGCUCCUCUGACGUUAGCGGCGGACGGGUGAGUAACACGUGGAUAACCUACCUAUAAGACUGGGAUAACUUCGGGAAACCGGAGCUAAUACCGGAUAACAUGUUGAACCGCAUGGUUCAACAGUGAAAGACGGUCUUGCUGUCACUUAUAGAUGGAUCCGCGCCGCAUUAGCUAGUUGGUAAGGUAACGGCUUACCAAGGCAACGAUGCGUAGCCGACCUGAGAGGGUGAUCGGCCACACUGGAACUGAGACACGGUCCAGACUCCUACGGGAGGCAGCAGUAGGGAAUCUUCCGCAAUGGGCGAAAGCCUGACGGAGCAACGCCGCGUGAGUGAAGAAGGUCUUCGGAUCGUAAAACUCUGUUAUUAGGGAAGAACAAAUGUGUAAGUAACUAUGCACGUCUUGACGGUACCUAAUCAGAAAGCCACGGCUAACUGCGUG